CACGAUCUCCUUCGCCUCCUCCUCGGUCAUGUCCUCCUUAAAGUCCGCCUCGAAGACCGCCAUCGCCGCGAGGGAACCGGAACCCAUGGUGGCGAAGGGCAGGGAAUCGCUGCUGCCGUGCGGGUGAACGCUGAAGAGGUGCGGGCCGUUGAUAUCCACGCCGCCGAGCACCAGCGCGGCGCCCACGUGACCCUGGUACUUGAACAGGUGCGACUUGAGCAUGGUGAGCGCGGUGACGACGCGGGAUUUGCGCUUGGUGGCCAGCCGGUGGAGCUCCAGCGCGGAUGCGAUCAUGCCUGCGAGUCGUGGGUGCGACGGAGAAGGGGACGAGAAGUCAGAGAGAGAGCGGCGGGUCGUCGGCGGCGGGUGUGCCCGUCUGGCACGGUUUGUUUUGGUCCGACGAGGUUUUACCCUAAAAUCGAGGCGAG
rnacentral:lncRNA from 1 species